GACUGCGUCUGAGAAGGAAAGACUGAAAAACUCCGCUAUGUGACGUUUGGAAUCUGGGGGAAGAGGAAGGGAAAAAAAGAAAGAAGGAAUCAAAAGUCUUGUUUUUUUGUUGUGUGUGUUUUUUUGCUUGCUCCCUCCCUCCUGCCGAAGAAGAGAGAAAGGCCCUCCUCUCCCCCUCCUCCCCGUUGCUCUAGAGCAGAGCAACCCGGCUCCAAACCUCAUCUUCGCCAGGCAAACAAAGCAUCAUUUUUUAAUGACUCUCGGAAUACAUUUGGCGGCGCGCGCGCGCCCGGGCUGGCGCUCGUGCUCGCGGGGCUGCUUUGCCUCGCCCCGCUUGUCAUAAUGGUUGCUUCAAACGCUUUGGGAAGCCUGUGAUGUUCAAGGCCCGAGCCUCUCUCUCUAGCUCUCUCUCUCUAUCUCCCCCUCCCCACACACUUCUCUCUCUCUCUCUCUCGCCCGCUUGCUUUUUAUGUGUCACACUUGUCAAGGAAAAUAGAGCACCGCGCCUUUGUUUCGAGAUGGUACCUGAUCAAUAUCAUCAAUCCGUCUCCCUCCCUUUCUCUCUCUCUCUCUCUUGCACAAACACACACCCGGGCGCACGCUCCCCUCUUCUCUCCCUCUUCUCUCUCUCUCCCUCUCUCUCUCUCUACAGCUGUAUCCAUUUCCUCCUGGCAAAAAGGGACUUUAUGAAUAAAUGAUACUGAAAUGCUGAGGGUUCAGAUACUAAAUAAUGAAUUUCACCACCAAAAACACAACAACUUCUCCAAUCAUAAAAUACCGCUCCUUCCAUAUUGAUUGGGCUUUGGCGACUGGAUGCGAGUGCGAAGCCUCUCAUGCGCCAAGGUGCUGCUCACACCAAAAAUAAGAGACCAAACCAGGGGCUCGCCAGGGUUGGGAUGGAUAGGAUACCAUCCCAGUGGCUAGCAACGCCAGCGAGUCUCUCGCCCGCCUGUCGCUUUUUUUUUAUUUGUUUUGGUGGAAACUCCAAAUCAAAGUCGCAGCACUGCAGCCGGUCCUAAACUCCUUUUUUUAAAAGGAGCUGCCCCUUUUUUGGCAGGGGAUGGAGUCCUGCAAAAGCUUGCCUCUCUCCUUGGGAUGGGAACUUUGGCUCCUUGGGACCUGACCGCAGAAAUGAGUCAUGCCAUAAUAUGAAGACCUGGAGAUGAAUCAUUGAGGUGAAAAUGGAGAGUAUGGAAGUGAAGACACUGACUGGAACAUUGCUUCCUUUGAACAUGAAUGUGCAUCAAGCAUUAUCUCAAGUACAUUGUGAUGAGUCAUCCAAAGCCAGUGCUUCAUUUGAAAAUUUCCUCUGAGAGUUUAGGAGGUAAGACCAAGCAACAGACUGGAAUCAUGAUGAAUGUAGGCGUAUCCCAAAGUUAGCAAUAUGCCAUCAUUAAUGUCUUCAUUAACAGGUGGGAGCAGGUCCCCAGGCGUUGGAGGAGAUUUGCGGUAAUUUGGAGAAGAAGGGGAGACAAUCAAUUAGGAUUUCCCACCUUGAGUAAAGCGGGGAAGGAAGCAGUAGGUGAUUAAAAAAAAGACAUGAAGAAAUGUGCUAAGCUGGGAAAAUAGGAAGAGGGCGCUUUGGAGCACUGGAGGAAGAUGAAAUCGCCUGGAACAACCGGGAAGUGUCUCCUAUUAUGAUCAUUGAAUAUUAUUUUCUUUUGGGUCAGGGAGGGAAAGUGGGGGUAAGGAAUACAAUUCACAGACCUACAAAAAAUAUUGGCGUUUUGUUUUUUAGGCCUGUUUAUGUUGGAAAUAGCAACCUCCCAAGCCACUCACUAUUUGUUUUCUGAUAUAUAUAUGUAUUUGUUAACCUGUAUUCUAUGUGUAUGUUGAUUUGCCAGUUUGACUGACCUCUUUGGUGUGGGAGGGGUUAUAGACAUGUGAUUGUACUGAGCAUGUUCAGACUCAAGACUCCAUUUUGUAUUCACUAAGAGUGCGUUUGGUCUUCAAUGAAUUCAGGCGUAUGUGUCAUGUCCAGACCCCAUUGGAGGUGAAUGCAUGUUGCUGUUUAGAGACUUUAAUGGAUGCAUGUAUGUUUAUGGACUUCAGUGAGUACAACUAUACUAAAUUAUGGACUAUCGAUUAAGAAUGAUACCCUGUGUACUCAACACAGAGACGCUUCAUCCUAUCUAUAACUAAACUUUAAUACGAAAUGUGCCUGUAUGGUGAAUUAAUACAAGAUGUUUAUGAGUAAACAAGGUAUGUUAUUUUUCAAAGAAGACUUUGUUUUUGUUUUUUAAUCUCUUAGUGUAUAUUUUAAACCAAGAGGUUUCAAGGGAGUGUAUAUGUUUUGGGCAAUUACAACUGCAAUGUCAACUGCAAAGAAACAACCAUCCUUUGCUAACCAAAUAUAUUUUAGUAGUGGCAUGUCUUUGUCCUUGGCAGUUUAAAGACAUGGUUCUUCAGUUUAACAGCUGAGUUACCUGUGUGCCAUUACAUGAAUGCUUAUUAAUAUCACUAGUUCAAAGAGUUGAAUUCUAACAAGAUCAUGCUUUUCUCUACUAGUGGUUUUCAAAGGUGGUCUCCACAUAUUCAUUUACCAAAAGGAUAUGUGCCCAGAGACUGGGUGCAGUUAUUUUCCAAUAGUUUAGUGGGUUCUUUGGGGCAUUAAUUCAGAAAAUUGUAUCGGUUCUGGUUUCUUAGAUAGGGUUGUUCUUGUUUUCUAUGGGCGAGCAGAUGGCGACUGGUAGGUGGCAUAUGUUCUGUAUCGCAGAAACUGGAGCUGAGAAGGGGAAACUGGUGCCAUUCCUGAAAUCAGCAGAUCAAAUAUACCUAGAAACAGAGCACCAAAAUAUGCAUUGGCCAGUGAUGUAGUUAGGAUUUGGGGGCCUUUUCUGAUUCCUUGAAGGGGGAACCUUUUGACUUGUUGAACUAGGACCGGAUUCGGCGAGAAUGGAAGGAGAGAAGCCGAGAAGGAGGGAGGGGGGAAAGAAGAAAGGGAGGGGAAGAAAAUCAAUACCAAGCCCCGCAGUCGGGUCUGUCUAUUAUUCAUUUAUGACGGUCUAAUCUAAGUUGAAAGCAAUUUCAGAACAAGUGUUAAACAGACAUUCCACAAGUCUGAGGGGGACGCGGGAGCAAGGACAGGCUGGCGGUGGGGAUGGGGUGGGACUGGCCAAGGAGGAGGCACCGGAGGAAGCUGCCCUGGCCUGGAGGUGGGUCUCAACGCCCUUAACCCGGGGCAACGGGGCACCCGACUCUUUCAGGCCUCGGAGCAAAACUAGUACCAUUGACGGAGUGGCUCUGACUUCCGGGAGGCUUUGCAGGCUCCGGGUGAAGAGCCAGGGUUUGGUCACUGAGCCCAGAAAGAGGGCAGGAGCCUAUUUGAUCUGCACAGUCCCAGGGAGAGUUACUCCGAAUGCGCUCCUACUCUCACUAAGACCCCACUUACCCACUGAAUGCAGUUCCAAGCCAACUUCAAACUUUUUUUUUGUGUCAGGAGCAACCGGAGUUGCUUCUGGAGUGAGAGAAUUGGCCAUCUGCAAGGACGUUGCCUAGGGGACGCCCGGAUGUUUUGAUGUUUUACCAUCCUUGUGGGAGGCUUCUCUUAUGUCCCCGCAUGGACCUGGAGCUGAUAGAGGGAGCUCAUCCACACUCUCACCUGGUGGGAUUCGAACCUGGCAGCUUUCAGGUCAGCAACCCAACCUUCAAGUCAUGAGGCUUUUAUCCCCUAGGCCACCGGAGGCUCAACUUCAAACUGCGGGAUCCAGACACAACAAACACAAAAGAAAACCCUUAACACGCACCAGUGCUGUAUGGGUUGUGUCAUCACCAUUUGGGCCUCAAACUGGUUCCAGGACUAUGUGUUGGGGAAUCUGAGCUGUCAGGCUCAAAAAUAAUCCUCAGUUGGGGUGAUUCCAUCAUAAAUACAGCAGAGUACCAGAAGUAAACUUCAUCACACGCAGAAACUUAGGUUGUGGUGAGCUAGGAUAUGCUGGCUUAUCUAAGCAAUCAUGCAUGCAUUUCCAAUGUGGGAUGGUUUAUGUAGUUAGUUUUGUUUGUUGCUUAGUAACCUGAAGCCAAAGCUGCAUUCCAGAGUUGAUGGCACCAUUUUAGGGAAAUGGGAAAUGUGGGAAAUGGGAGUAUACUUCCUGGAGACUUACAGGAAGUAACAUAUACCUUUAGAAUUUGGGGCAUAAAAGGAGAUAAUUUAUUUUGUUCUCUUUGGCUUUCUUUGGCUUUUCAUGCUCUUCCUGCCAUGUCAUGCUGAUGUUACUUUUUUGUUAAGAGAUAUGUAGUAUCCUGAACUGUAUUCUUUUUGAACUAAUAUGUUUUUGCCUGUAUGACCAUCAUCAUGCGGGGACAUGAGAGAUGCCUCCCACAAGGAUGGUAAAACAUCAAAACAUCCGGGCAUCCCCUGGGCAACGUCCUUGCAGACGGCCAAUUCUCUCACUCCAGAAGCAACUCCGGUUGCUCCUGACACGAAAAAAACAAACAAACAAAAAACAAAAAAAAUCAUACAAGAUUGUGAGUAAACAUAUUUUUACCAUUUUACUUUUGAUGUCUCUGAUGCUUAUUUUAUGCACAUGACUCUUUAAAGGGAAAGGGAGGCUGGCUAUUUUUCUUUUCUCACCUCUGCUCACAUAAACCCCUAGUCUUCUGCGUUUUUGCUACUCUGCACCAAUAUCUAACCAUAUUGGUAUCAUAAUCUAACAGGUUAUGAAUAUAUUCCUAAUAGGAUAAGGUUUCAUUCUUCAGGACGGUUUAGGAGUGCAGUCAGAACUUUAAGUUCAAAAAUAUUUAUUGAAGUAAAAAAGAAAUACAUUCUUGAUAGAAAAGAUCUAGGAGCGAACUAAAGAGGUGAAAAAGUAACAUCCAUGAAACUACAUUUUGCCUAGAGAGGAAAAAUGUGCAUCCUCACAGGGAGAAAGGAAAGGCAGAAGAGACCCUUUACAAAAGGUGGAGACCACAUGGCCAACACAGGACGGUUUAAAUGGAAAAGGAAGUUCCUUCAUAGAAAUCCCAUUACUAAGUCAUCAAAGAGAAGGUGACAGUGCCUAGCAGUGAAGAAUAAAGACAAAGAGAAACGUGCAUAGGGAAGUGGGGGAAACACUUCCUCAGCUUGUCCCUGUCUCUAGACUAGCGACUCAUUGAGGACUGGAAACUUAAUGACGCAAGAAACUUGUGCAGCCCAGGGAUGAAACUCAACAGUUUGAAACUACAGUAAAUGGUCAGUGUAGAUGGGGACGGAGAGUAUUAAAAUCCUAAGGAUGAAGACAUGGACAGGCAUCCCCCUCCCUGCGCUUUUAGAACACAUCUACACCUCCAGAUAAAAUCCAGAUUAUCAUCUUUGAACUAGAUUAUAUGACAGGGUAGGCUCAUAUUAUCCAGUUCGAUUCAGAUAAUCUGGAUUUCAUCUGACAAGAUAGAAGGGGCCUAAGCCACCUUUGGAGGACAAGUGCCAGUAAAUUCCAACACAAGCAACUUUUAAAGAAACUAUUUCGAAUGGAAGCAAUAUCAGUUUGGAAAUAAUACACCACCGACCAUUCUCCCCAGCUUUGGUAGUUCUGUACUGACAGAGGAAUUCCAGACAUGAAUCAAUCAGGGCCAGCUAACACCUCCCAACAAAGGAUUCCCCCAGGCAGUAAGCAGCCAGACCUUGAAGCUGAAGGCCUAUUCAAUGCUAAUCAAGGUGGCCAAUUGCAACAUUAAAACCUGCCUUAAACAGACAAGAGUUCUUUCUACCACCCUGGACAUUCCGCAGAUUUAUAAACCCCACGUGACUAGUUUCCAGCACACCUCAUUACCUCUGAGGAUGCCUGCCAUAGAUGCAGGCGAAACGUCAGGAAAGAAUGCUUCUGGAACAUGGCCAUAAAGCCCGGAAAACUCGCAGCAACCCUAUAUAGUGCAAGUUCAUAUAAUCCAUCAUGCAUGGCAGUUUAUAACCAGCGUUUGCGUUUAGGAUCCAGUUACUGCGGUCUUGUGUGUAGUUAUUUCAGACUGGAUCCCAAUGAGUCUAACAAAUCUUACUUCCGAAUAGGUGAGGGCUACUUUAUUUUCUCUGAACCAUUUUGCUUGUUGAUCCUUAUGGGUAGCGCCUUCAUUUGUCUUAAGAAUGCAUACACGAAAGCUCCUUCUAUUUUCCCCCAACACUACACAGAAAAGGAUUACUUCUUAACCAUUUCUCAUUAAUAGUAGAUCUGGAAACAGCGCAAAGUUUUGAUAGUUACAUCUCAAACAUGCUUUCCCCCUAAUUAUCAACAGUAUUAUCAACACAAUGGAAAUCCUGCAGGGCUCCUUUUCUCGAGUAUUUGUCGAUGGUGACCUAUCACACAUUUGAAUUGGAUAGUGAAAAUAAAAGAUACGACUAGAUAUCCAUUUUAUGUGGUCAUUCCCGGUUACUCAGAAUCAUGAGAUCCGACAGAACCCGUGUAUAAAAUCGUCUCUCUUUUAAAAACAAAUCAAUUUAUUCAAAAAGUCAGAAGACAUUUCGAGUUCAUGACACAAGAAACAAAUCUAAUUUCGGUGAAAUAAUUGUACUUUUUUUUUAGAAUUUUUUUUAAAAAAAAAAUUUAAAGGAAAAAAAUAUUUAAAGUGCAAUCAUGUGCAUCUCUACUCAGAAAUAAGCCCCAUUUCGCACUUCAAGCAAAUGGAGAUAGGAUUGCAAACUCCUUUUGCAAUUUGUGGAUGGAGGUUUAAUUUUUUUAAAUCACAGCCUUUGAGGACUGUUAGUUUUAGUUUACCAAGCCUUUUGAGUCACAGCUUUGCGGCCAAAAUGAAACGAAAUGCGCUAAAAAGAGAAGUCACCAAAGAAGUAAAAAGAUCCCACCUUGGAAGCCAUGUUUCUUGGCGCAGUUUGGAAGCACCCCAAAGUCAGGUUCGCCUUGUGUUGUGGAAGGCUUUCAUGACCGGAAUCACUGGGUGGCUGUGGGUUUUCCGGGCUGUAUGGGCAUGUUCCAGAAGCAUUCUCUCCUGACGUUUCACCUGCAUCUAUGGCAGGUAUCCUCUGAGGUUGCGAGAUCUGUUGGAAACUAGUCAAGUGGGGUUUACAUAUCUGAGGAAUGUCCAGGGUGGGAGGAAAAACUCUUUUUUGUUUGAGAACACAGAAAUGCUGGACCACUUUAGCAACCACCACAUCAGACUGCACAGAGAAUCCAUUGAAAUUCACAAGCAUGUGGACAAUUUCAACAGAAAGGAGGAAACCAUGAAAAUGAACAAAAUCUGUCUACUAGUAUUAACAAGCUCUAAAAUCAGAACAGUAAAUAAAGAACAACAGUCAGAAAAUGGGAAUUCCACACGUGAAUCAAUCAGGGCCAGCUAACACCUCCCAACGCAGGAUUCCACCCAGGCAGGAAGCAGCCAGAAAUUGAAGCUGAAAUUCUAUUCUAAUCAAGGUGGCCAAUCAAAACAUUCACACCUGCUUCCAACAGACAAGAGUUUUUUCCCACCCUGGACCUUCCACAGAGAUAUAAACCCCAUUUGACUAGUUUCCAACACCUCACAACCUCUGAGGAUGCCUGCCAUAGAUGUGGGCGAAACGUCAGGAGAGAAUGCUUCUGCAACAUCCCGGAAAGCUUUCGACAACACAUUGCUUUACUCACUUUGGAAGCACCCCAAAGUCAGGUUCGCCUAUUUGAAUACUCUUCCAGUUCAAAUGAGCCCCAACAGCCACAGCCUCACAAUAUUUGCUCCCAAAUGAACUUCAUAGACCUAGUUCUGUUUCAGACCGAAGCUAGAAAGGUAUAUCUAUUUUCCUGGACAUUUUGGAGAACCUUUGUCCAGACUUAUUUUCGAAGAGAGAAAUCUGGGCGAAAACCACCCCCAAGAUCAGCUGAAAGCUCAUAUAAUGCAGUUUGAUCUACAUUAUACCGUUUACAUCAGUGGUUCCCAAUCUUUUUUGACCAGGGACCACUUGACCAGGGAACACUCUCCAACAUUAGUACCAAAAGGGUUACAAAUCGGUUUUUUGUCAGGUUGGUUAUUUGGGGUGCUGAUUCAGAAAAUUGCAUUGGAUAGACCACAUCAGCUUUAGUUUCUGAUACAGAACAUACGCCAUCCAGUAGUUACAUCUGCUUGACAGAAAACUGUAUUUAAUAAUCUAGAGCUGAUGUGGUCUAUCCAAUGCAACUUUCUAAAUCAGCACCCCAAAUAACCCCAGGAACAGACCUAAAAAUGAAGACACCAAGAAACAUUUUUGUUGGGUUGUGUUAUUAUCCGUAGUACUAAGACCAUAUUUUAGUUCUUGCGGACCAGGGGAACCACUGGUCUACAUUGACCGUAUAAUGCAGUUCCAACCGCAUUAUAUGGCAGUAUGGAUCCAGCCCAACUGCCGCUGGCCCCGGCCCCCUUCCCUCCCCUCCCCUUGAAGAGAAAGAACUGCUGGCGACCAACUCCACAGAACAACAUCCGGAGAGCUCCGGGUUUUUUUGUGAUUUUCAUAUUUAUUAACCAAAAAUAAAAAUAACUUGUCCAUUUAUGUUACAUCAGGUGCAAUAUAUAUAUCAGCCGAGAGAGCUACUCUAACUUGGUUCGCUUACAGAUAUUUUUGCGGAUGAUGAGUCGCAAUCCUAUCAGCAAACUUUUGCAAACAAAACACAAAGGGAAACAGAAAAUCCUCAAGAAAGAAACCAUAUUUUUAAGAGAUCCAUUUUCAUUUUUGGCCUUUUCCAAACCUGGGUUUUUUUUCUGCACUGACACCGAAGAAAGGUCAAGAAACACACUCGGCGAAUAUAUAGAGUUCAUUUUAUUCAGAGCAUCCACUUCCACAGAAGAGCUCUCUUAUCGUCAGGAGUUCUGAACCUUGCAGAAAAAUACAACUCUCGAUUUGUUAAAAAUUGUGGGUUGUUGUUUUUUUUGGUAGACUCUGUCUCUCAUUCUUCUCUCUCUCUUUUCCUUCUCUUUUCCUAAUUAAAUUUUUUUUUUAGCAGCUGUGUGUCGGGUAAAGGGGGGAGGAUGAGAAAAGGAAGCCCUUCGUAAAGAAACAACGAGGAAUCGUAAUCACUUGUUUCGUUUUGUUUUGUUUUCCCAGGUUUGUUUUAUUCGUACACAUCUCCCUGCUGUACUGUUUGGCAUACAGAGAUACUGCCGAUGGGGAUGAAAAGGUGGAGAGAAAAAGAAGCCCCAAAGACAUCCAAGAAGACCAAACCAAGGAGAAAGCUCAGCACACGGACAUGGAUCAGAUACAUCCAGGCAGACACUUGGGUGGCCUGUGGGCUCUUCCUUCCUAGCCAUGAUUUGCCCCUUCUGUGCAUUAAAGAAAAUAUUUACAAACAUCUUUUUUUCCUUUUUUUAAUCAGUUUUUUUGUUGUCGUCUCUGUUGGUUAAAAAAUCUAAAUACAAGCAACGUGAACAAGGACUUAGGUGUGUUUCUGUGUCUGUAUUUAUGUGUAUUUUCGUGUCUCUGUGCAUUAUGUGUGUUUUCGGUGUGUGUGUGGGGG